rnacentral:lncRNA from 1 species
AAGGCUUCACCGCCCGAACCAACAUGUCAACCCUCCACCUCUGGGGAAAAAGAGGGAGAGAUCAGCCUUAGGCCGGUGACGGGCAAAUCUAAGGUUGAUACUAAUUUUGUUGAAAUGUCUCCUUCUUGGCAGCUGUACCAGAGCAGAUGGGAGAAACUCAACACAAGGAAAGGCAUUAACCCGGGAAAUUGCCAGGUUGAUGUCGGAGAAAAAUAUCCGCGGGUGUGGAUGACCACCGGCGCCCAUCCACAGGAUGUUAAGGAAUGGUAUGAGUUUGGAGCUCUGGCUUCAGUUUAUACCAUAUCUCCAGCAUUCACCGAAAUUAAG